CUUUGUAAUCCAAAUAGUCUAAACAUAAGUGAUUUACUGUCAUGUUCUCUGUUCCAGAAGAACAUUCUAUACUGGAAAAAUCUUGCUUAAAACAGCUUAAUGAGAGGAGUAGGAAUACUGUAUGUUAAAAAUACCUGCUGAUUUUCAUGAAAUAUUUUGUUGUAUGCAGCUAAGACUGCUAAGUAAGGUUUUCACAAGGAGAGUUCCACUGACCCUAUGAUGCUGAUGUGGAAAAGCCCAGGGCUAAGCUUCCAGGGCUUCAGUGAGAAAGAAUGUAACAGCACAAUUUAGUCCCAGAAUAAAGGACUUUUCUUUUCCUCCAUACUUAAUUCUUAGGCUUACAAAACUUGGCACAUUGGUAUUUACUAUAACUUAUUUUAGGUUAAUUAUAUGUCCAAAGCAUUUGGCUUGGAUACAUGGCACUCAGAUAAACAUCUAUGAGCGUCCACAAUAUAGGUCAUGUGUUCAAAGUUUAGCUCUGUUCUCAGCAUCAAUCUUUGUAAUCAGUGCUGCCCUUCCAGCAGAGUGCUGUCCUACAAACCAUCCUGAAAUGAGUGGUGGUGGAGCCCUGAGGCUUGCUAAUUGCCCUGAAGAUGAUUAACUGUGUACAGGGAUAUAAUAUAAUGAGAAGGAUACCUAUCAACUGGAGACUUAGACAUUCGCCGGGUGAGGCCUGGAGAACUCUUCUUGCUCUUCACAAGGAAAGAAAAUGAAGAAAAAAGUGAAAAUCUAUCUGGGCAGAUUGCAUCUUCCAAAAUGGCUACAAUAGCAUUUCUGGUCCCCCAUUCUCUUCAGAGUUUUGCCACACUAGAGGUG